CAGACGAGGAUAACAGUUGGAAACGACUGCUAAGACUGGAUAGGAAGUUUUAAGGCAUCUUGAAACUUUUAAAAGACCCGCAAGGGUAUGCUGAGAGAUGGGCUUGCGGCACAUUAGUUAGUUGGUAAGGUAACGGCUUACCAAGACCAUGAUGUGUAGCUGGACUGAGAGGUUGAACGGCCACAUUGGGACUGAGAUACGGCCCAAACUCCUACGGGAGGCAGCAGUAAGGAAUUUUCGGCAAUGGAGGCAACUCUGACCGAGCAACGCCGCGUGAACGAUGAAGUAUUUAGGUAUGUAAAGUUCUUUUAUUAAAGAAGAAAAAAUGAUGGAAAAAUCAUUCUGACGGUAUUUAAUGAAUAAGCCCCGGCUAACUAUGUGCCAGCAGCUGCGGUAAUACAUGGGGGGCAAGCGUUAUCCGGAUUUAUUGGGCGUAAAGGGUGCGUAGGCGGUUUAAUAAGUCUAUGGUAUAAGUUCAACGCUUAACGUUGUGAUGCUAUAGAAACUGUUUGACUAGAGUUGGAUAGAGGCAAGUGGAAUUCCAUGUGUAGCGGUAAAAUGCGUAAAGAUAUGGAGGAACACCAGUAGCGAAGGCGGCUUGCUGGGUCUUAACUGACGCUGAGGCACGAAAGCGUGGGGAGCAAACAGGAUUAGAUACCCUGGUAGUCCACGCCGUAAACGAUGAGUACUAAGUGUUGGGUUAAACCAGUGCUGAAGUUAACACAUUAAGUACUCCGCCUGAGUAGUACGUACGCAAGUAUGAAACUUAAAGGAAUUGACGGGACUCCGCACAAGCGGUGGAUCAUGUUGUUUAAUUCGAAGAUACACGAAAAACCUUACCAGGUCUUGACAUACUCUGCAAAGCUAUAGAAAUAUAGUGGAGGUUAUCAGGGAUACAGGUGGUGCAUGGUUGUCGUCAGCUCGUGUCGUGAGAUGUUGGGUUAAGUCCCGCAACGAGCGCAACCCUUAUCGCUAGUUACCAUCAUUUAGUUGGGCACUUUAGUGAGACUGCCAAUGAUAAAUUGGAGGAAGGUGGGGAUUACGUCAAAUCAUCAUGCCCCUUAUGACCUGGGCUACAAACGUGAUACAAUGGCUGUUACAAAGAGUAGCUGAAGCGUGAGUUUUUAGCAAAUCUCAAAAAAACAGUCUCAGUUCGGAUUGAAGUCUGCAACUCGACUUCAUGAAGUCGGAAUCGCUAGUAAUCGCGAAUCAGCAUGUCGUGGUGAAUACGUUCUCGGGGUUUGUACACACCGCCCGUCAAACCAUGAAAGUUGACAAUACCCGAAACCAGUAGCCUAACUUGCAAAAGAGGGAACUGUCUAAGGUAGGGUUGAUGAUUGGGGUUAAGUCGUAACAAGGUAUCC
rnacentral:rRNA from 1 species